rnacentral:rRNA from 1 species
AUCAGUGGCCAUAGCAAAGGGGAUAACCUGAUACCAUUCCGAACUCAGUAGUUAAGCCCUUUAGCGCCGAAGAUACCAGAGAUGGGAAAAUAGGGAGCUGCUUUUU